AGCAGUAGGGAAUCUUCGGCAAUGGGGGAAACCCUGACCGAGCAACGCCGCGUGAAUGAUGAAGGUCUUUGGAUCGCAGAAUUCUGUUGUAAGGGAAGAACACUGAAGAUAGGGAAUGAUCUUCAGAUGACGGUACCUUACCAGAAAGCCACGGCUAACUACGUGCCAGCAGCCGCGGUAAUACGUAGGUGGCGAGCGUUAUCCGGAUUUAUUGGGCGUAAAGGGUGCGUAGGCGGUUAUUUAAGUUUGUGUUUAAAGCGCGGAGCUCAACUCCGUAAAGGCACAAAAACUGGAUGACUAGAGUGCAGUAGAGGCGAGUGGAAUUCCAUGUGUAGACGGUGAAAU
rnacentral:rRNA from 1 species